CGGGGUAUAGCUCGGUGGUAGAGCAUUCGACUGCAGAUCGAGAGAUCCCCGGUUCAAACCCGGAUGCUCCCU
rnacentral:tRNA from 1 species